rnacentral:rRNA from 2 species
GACGGAGGGGGCAAGCGUUGUCCGGAAUCACUGGGCGUAAAGCGCACGUAGGCGGGACGGUGCGUCGGUGCUGAAAGCGCCAGGCUUAACCUGGCGAGGCGUGCCGAUACGACCGACCUCGAGGCAGACAGAGGGUGGCGGAAUUCCGGGUGUAGUGGUGAAAUGCGUAGAGAUCCGGAGGAACGCCGGUGGCGAAAGCGGCCACCUGGGUCUGACCUGACGCUGAGGUGCGAAAGCGUGGGGAGCAAACCGG